GACUGCAGAACAGACAAACGCCGAAUCAGCUCAAAUCAGGUAAUGGGAACGAUUAUCCUUCUUGAAAUGAUAAGCUCAAUCUCAAACAGUAUAAUAACCACACAAAAACGGAAUGAAAAAAAUUUGAAAAUUCAAAAGCACUCAACUUAUCUAUUCGAUCUGAGCAGAGGAUUGGGAACUUCCCAAAUCUAUACUCCCACGAAUCCAUCUUGGGGAAAAUUUAUAUUGCACUCUUUGCAUUCAAACACCAAAUUUAAUGCCACCAAAAAAAUUCAAAUGAAAACACAAUAAAAAUUCGAAUGCAAACGCAAAACCCAAUAAAGUCAAGCAUAACAACAUCAAGAAUAUACCUGAGAAACUAACAAAUUGGAUCCCGCCCAAAAUCAACCAAACUCAACCAGGCACAUGUUAACAAAUCCUCCAUAGAUCAAAGGCCAAAGCGGCUUGAACUCUAUUUGAAUCACAUAACACAGUUAUGGGAACAAAUUAAACCCUGGACAAAGAGCAAUAUCAGAAUCUAGAAACAGAUCCAAAAAUAAAAAGCAUACAAAACAUGCACAAACCCAAAUACUAUUCUCUCUUUCCAUACCCAAAUACUAUUCUCUCUUUCACUUUAUCAAUGCUAGUCUCGCUUUGAAUUUUUUGCUAGUCUCAUUGACUCACGUUAUUGCUCGGUACAAAUCAUAUUCAGAUUAUAGAAAUAACCCAAUAGCACAAAGUGGAGAACUGUAAAGUACUCACCAGAGCUUGUAGCAGUUGGAAAAUAUGCAUACAUGAUUUUCAAUGGGAACUGUGGCCAUAUGUAUAUAAUAUUUGAGCAGAAACUAUCUCAUCGGCACUUCAUGUCAUCUGACCGUCAAUCUAGACCGUUAAAAAACUAGGGUCGACAACAAAACAUACCGGAUAAUAAAAUGAGUGAUAAUUAAGAGAAAGGUUUACUUACUUUUUCACUAAAAAUUGGCCCAUCCAAGUCUCCCGUCUACCACACUUAUGCAAUGGCACUCCUCUAUAUUUUGAGCCGCCUCUAAGAACCCGGUACUUUGUCUGCAAAGCAGACAAAGUACGUGCACACAUUCCUCCUCUGGUAAAUUGCUCAUCAGUUCAGCAACAUAUUACAAAAGAAUAUAAUCAAUUUUCCCCAUAUCCACAAAAUCACAAAAAAAAAAAUUAAUAAAUAAAUAAAUAAUUGAAUAGCUGGUGUUGAAUAUAAGUUAUAAAACUGUUCACAGAAAACCACUAUCGAAAAAAAACUCAGCUUUCUUAAGGCAAGAAUUGAAGAACUCAAGCCAGUACUCACUUGUUUCAAGUCAUCUUCAUAGUCUUCAAUGUCAUCAUUUAUGUCGGCCUCUACUCCCCUAAACUUGAUUGCAGCUCUGUCAUACACUGCAGAAAAUAAUUUAUAAUAAGUAACUAACUAAUCAUUAAAAUUUCUACAUGUUCUUGGCUCACAUUUUCUUGGAGAAAUUUUUUGUUUGUUUCCCCAGAAAAUAUAAGAUUUUUUAUGGCAAGCAAAAUAGUACUCACCAAGGAGCUGCAUGUGCUGUGUCAAAUCAACCUAUAGGUGUCCAAAACAGAAUAAAAAAUGAUAAUAAAAAAAAAAACCCAAAAGAACGCCUAGAAUACUCAAUGCUAACAGGGUAACCUCCUUCUAUAUUGGUAAACUUAAACUACAUGCUGUUAGUAAUAGAUGCAAAAUUGAAUCAAAAAACCCAUGACAGAACAAAACCACUAAUUUUGCAGUAGGGGAAAUCUUUACUUACCUGAACAAUUUGCUCAUUUGUUUUCGGAUGAGUAUUAAAAGAGCUAAACACACUACUUAAAUUCAACCAAUCAACCAAAUCAAAACCUUACUUUUUCAGAUCUGAUCAGAUAUUCCAAUACGAUAAGCAAAUCAAAUUCCACAAUCCACUUCCUAGGGUUCCUAAAAGAAAAAAAGAAUAAAGCUGUGAUUAGAUCGGCUAAUAGAUUAAGACAUCAAUAUGAAAUUGUAAAGAGAGGACAUUGGUACUGCAUAAGAAUCGGUUUAGCAAAUAAGCCUCAGACCACGCUAAAAAAAAAAAACACAAAAACCUAAACAUGUAAAGAGUUCGAAACCUGAGAAAUCCUGUUGCAAGACUGAACUGUCACUUUACUACUAAACAACACAUGCAAGUAAAAGAGGCCGAAUAAUCUAUAGGCAAAUCCUGGUUCCAAAACCUUCUGCAAUCUCGAUGAACCAAUCGGUUCCCCAACUAUCGAGUAAUGAUCAGUAUUCAACCAAGUUCUUCCAUGUAGUUGAGUCAAUUAAGCUAUAAAAAGGAACAAAAACUAUACAAAAAUCAGAUCUCAGUUAUCAACAAAAAAACCAUAUAAGAUAAAAGCAAAAAGAACAAAAACCAGAAACUCAACAAAAACACCCUUAUACCUGGAGGAAGUAGGAAAGCUGGCAAAAUCGAUUAGAAAACCUGCAGACAUGAACGCAAUUUAAAAGUAAAAUCCUAGCAAUUAGACAAAAUUAAACAAAGAAAAGCAAAUAUACAGAACCACUUACCCAGAUUUCUCUUCUCCUGUCUCAACCCAAAAAAUAUUAACGAAGACUCCAUUCUCUUCCUCGCAGCAAGCCUGAAACCGCCAUGUUCGGCCUCUUACAGAGAAGAUUUUUUUUACGAACCUCUGCAUGUAAUUAAUGUCAUUUGUAUCAAAAUACCAAUUAUACUAAUUCAAAAUCAGAAACGAAAAUUCAUUCAUUGAUCACAGUUUUUCACAGAAAUAAACUCUUAUCUCUAUAAAGGAGAAGUCUUUUUAUACACAGUAUGUUUUUGUACAUUAAUUGUUUACAUAGAAGACUAAACCCACAUGCACCUAGAAAAGGUAGCAAAACACCUAUACAAAAUCUGGAAUCAACUAAUACAAACAAUUUUGGUAAAAUCUUUUUUUCAUUUUUACAAAAAAAUAAAUUAAAACAGAUGUCCCCAAAGAUUCCCACCUAAAUGAAUAAUAUAUAGAACUGUCUGAGAUCUUGAAUGUAGAAGAAGUAGUAGAUACAUAACCUCAACACGUUCAAAACUUCAAGAAAACUACAUAAACAGAAAAACCAAAUUCUUUGUUUUCGAGCAGGAACUUUGAAACUGAACAACAAAUAAUCACAGAUGAAUCACAAAGCUAGUUUUGUUACAAUAAUAAUAGCCCAAAAAAUUUAAAGAUAUUAGUUUUAUAUCAAAAUUAGCUUGAGCAUGUUUUAAAAGUAUACACAUGAAACAACCUAUUUCAGUAAUUAACGUUACUCAUACUAAGAAGUUUAAAUUGGCCAUACACAUAAAAUACAUGAGAACAGUAGAAGAAUACCUGCUAAAUAAUUUGGCUUCAAAGGACAAAGGUUUCCCAGUUAGCACCAACCUGCAAUUAUACACAGAAAAUAGCACUCUUCGCUAAAUAGCAUGAAUAUGAACUCAAUUGUCAAUCACGUUCAUUCACACAACACAGAAUUACAGGGAAUUCGUCAACCAUAUGAAGGCUUUAACUAAUACACCUAAGAGGAUCGGGGCUUCUUCUUUUGGCAAGCCUAAGAGGAAUAAACCAUCUGAUGACAUACACAAAAUCCGAAAUACUGGUUCUCAGUUAAUAGUUGAAUCCAAAUAAUACAUUAAACAGUAGAAAACUAAAGUGGACAAAUCAAACUGCAAUAGUACAAUAGGCCAAAGAGAAAUCAACUCCAAAGAUGAACAAAAUCAGAACACCAACUUUAAAGCAAAAAACUAAAAAGGAAAUUGAAAGGUUUACCAAGAGCUCAAAAGCAGACCAAUUAACUAAUAGAAUAUCGUCCCUUGUCCUCUUCCCCACAGCCUCAAUAAAUAAUACUGUAACAACCAUAAGAAAAAACGAAAACAACUUGAGAACCCAGAAUAAAAACCCAUAAAUCAAAUUCAAACCAAACAGAACCCAAAAAAAAACAUUGAACAGCGAAUUGGCACUGAAAUCGUUCCUGCUGGACCAAAUACACCAUUUAGUCCUGAAAUAAGAAGAAUUAAUUAGUAUUGAGAUAUAUCGCAAUGCAAAUACAGAUUUUUAUUUAAUGUAUUUUUUUUUUAUUUUUUUUUUUUAAAUGAUCUUCAAUGACAGCGUUGUUCUCCAGAUAACUGAAGAAGUUCUACAAAAGAAGUUGAUGGAGAGAAUAGNNNNNNNNNNNNNNNNNNNNNNNNNNNNNNNNNNNNNNNNNNNNNNNNNNNNNNNNNNNNNNNNNNNNNNNNNNNNNNNNNNNNNNNNNNNNNNNNNNNNNNNNNNNNNNNNNNNNNNNNNNNNNNNNNNNNNNNNNNNNNNNNNNNNNNNNNNNNNNNNNNNNNNNNNNNNNNNNNNNNNNNNNNNNNNNNNNNNNNNNNNNNNNNNNNNNNNNNNNNNNNNNNNNNNNNNNNNNNNNNNNNNNNNNNNNNNNNNNNNNNNNNNNNNNNNNNNNNNNNNNNNNNNNNNNNNNNNNNNNNNNNNNNNNNNNNNNNNNNNNNNNNNNNNNNNNNNNNNNNNNNNNNNNNNNNNNNNNNNNNNNNNNNNNNNNNNNNNNNNNNNNNNNNNNNNNNNNNNNNNNNNNNNNNNNNNNNNNNNNNNNNNNNNNNNNNNNNNNNNNNNNNNNNNNNNNNNNNNNNNNNNNNNNNNNNNNNNNNNNNNNNNNNNNNNNNNNNNNNNNNNNNNNNNNNNNNNNNNNNNNNNNNNNNNNNNNNNNNNNNNNNNNNNNNNNNNNNNNNNNNNNNNNNNNNNNNNNNNNNNNNNNNNNNNNNNNNNNNNNNNNNNNNNNNNNNNNNNNNNNNNNNNNNNNNNNNNNNNNNNNNNNNNNNNNNNNNNNNNNNNNNNNNNNNNNNNNNNNNNNNNNNNNNNNNNNNNNNNNNNNNNNNNNNNNNNNNNNNNNNNNNNNNNNNNNNNNNNNNNNNNNNNNNNNNNNNNNNNNNNNNNNNNNNNNNNNNNNNNNNNNNNNNNNNNNNNNNNNNNNNNNNNNNNNNNNNNNNNNNNNNNNNNNNNNNNNNNNNNNNNNNNNNNNNNNNNNNNNNNNNNAACCCAGUAUAUUAGCAGUAAUUGAGGGAAUGAAGACAUGGUAACUGGAUAUUCAACCACCGAAAUGUUAUAAAUAUUCUAAGAGACUACAGAAGACCUCAACGAAACUCAAAGGCAGAUUUUGCGUCNCAAAAAAAANAAAAAAAAAAAAACAAGUUGCAGAUAUCAAAUAUGACACAAUCAGAACGAAUAAAAAACACUGCAAAACAGAGCAAAAACCGUACUCUUAACUAGGCAUCUUCAGUCCACAAUUUCUUUUAAAUAUUGUGUUCUCUGGUAUCCACAAUGUAGAAUCCCCGGGAAACUUAUCCUAUCAUACUUGUCUUGAUAAUAAAUGGAUUAAACCUAUUUAAACUAAUCCACAGUGGUAUGUUCUGAACAAAAUUUCGAAUGUGCUUACACAUCCAUCGGAUGUUCAAAUUUCGUGAACGCUCUGUCGUCGUGAUACAUCGGUUGAAGCUACUGAGGCUGUUUCUGCAUUUUGGUUAGCCCUUGCCAAAGUCUCCAAAUGGAAUUCCUGCAUCAGAGCAAUAUGACAGCUCAGAACUAUUGAACAUGAAAAACAAUCUUGAAUUUGCUUCGCUUUACCUGAAAUGCAGGUGGCUGUGGGAUACUUCUUGACAUUGCAGGUAAUGAAGGUGCUUCAAGAAUCUGUAACGACCAAAAGUCCAGUGAAUCAACGGAUAUAGAUCAUGAAUGAAAGUUGAGAUCAGGCCAUAACUUGAAUAUUACAAAAGUGACGAGCCUUAAACUUUGGAAUUUUGGCCAUCAUCUCUUCUUCCAGCUCAGCAGUACUCUUCACUAACUGAGCGCACACGCUGUGAUGUCUCAAAUUCUGGCUCCUUUGGUCUUGUUAAGGUGAGUUUAGGCUUCAUCUGAAUAAUAGAAACAACAUCAACCUCUAUUGCUAAAAUAUAUAUAUAUAUAUAUAUAUAUAUUUAUAUAUAUAUAUAUUAAACCUGACCAACUAAAUAUAUAUAAAAAAAGUGUAAAGAAGUGAAAGAACUUUAAGCAGGGUGAAGCUCCUUUACGUGUGAAAGAGAACCAUUAGCAUGCGGCAGCGACAAGUCUCUGGUACUUGAUUGGAACCUGUUCAUCAUUUCUGCCAUUGAAACAAAUGGUGCUGCAGGUUCCCAAACAUAAAUCUGUAGAUUGGGAAAGGAUCAACUACUCAAUUCUAAUAUUUCAUAACAACAUGGAGUGCAAAAGAGGGAUGAAAAGCACAAACCGUCCUGUCCUCUUUUUGAGUUUUAAUAGCAGUUGAAAAAUGUGUGGCACUGGUAUGACCCAGUUUUCACUUGUGGAGCAAUGUUUGGGGUUUGGGAUUAAGAAUCUGCAUUUUAAGGGCACACAAGCAAAAACAGUCAUGGGAAAUGUCUAGAAAUAAUCUUCACCAAACCACAACAAAGAGGCUUCUAGAUGUGAGUCAACACAAAUUACAGAACUAAAAGUAACCUGUCUAGAUCUUCCAGCAUCCCCAACUUCUGCCGCUUAAUUGCCUAAUUCUCCUGAGCUAACAUGGAUGUGCCAGUUGCAUUUUUCACGUUCUCUUCUCUGUAAGUUUCAGUCAAGUAUACAAUUAGGACAUAGCACUGGCGUAUAAUGAAUUCAAGAGAUACCAGAUAAAGUGAAGCAUUCCAACCUUUUGAUAGUAUACUGUUUAAUUUGUGAAGCGUGCAAGUGACGUUUUCCCCUUGGCCCUGAUGGGUUUCUGACCAUACUUGAUAUCUUUUUGGCUGUCUGGUGGUUUUUGGAAUCACUUGGAAGAUCUCCGUUCUUGGAAUAAUUCAUGGGUGGCUUUGGAGUACUAGCUAUGGAAUUACUAUUCUCCUUCUCAUUAGUUAUAUCAGUUCUCUUAUUGGAAGAUACUGCGCAGCAGCCAGAACACUGCAGAGAAGAAACACAAUGAGAAACCUUGGAGCAAGAAAGAGACCUAAGAGAGCAUUAGAUCAGCAGUAAGAGGAAAACUAACCUUCCAUCAUCUUUCAUGCAUUUGUCCUCUACUUUAUCAGCAGAAAUCUGAAAGCACAGAAUAGGCAUAAUUGAACAAUACCUUUUAUUACCAAAGGCAGCCAAAUUGAAAAAAUCAAAUGCAAUCACCAAAGAAGUACCCCUUAAGCUUAACCAAUUAUGAUCUUCUCUUUCCAGCAGGGCAGCACCAACCAAAAACAUAGUAGAUUAGAGAAUCAUACCACAGAAUAGACAUAAUUGAACACUACCUUUUAUUACCAAAAGCAUUAGCAGUAAGAGGAAAUCUGUCCUCUACUUUAUCAGCAAAAAUUUUGAAAGCAAUACAUUAGUGAUAAGGGGGCCACAUGUAAUCAGGAAAAUGUGAUUUUCAGAGAGUAAAGUCAAAUUACUAUAAUGGCUUGUCUUGCACUGUUUUCAUCUUUAGCUUCCUUCAAUUCAGGAGUGAUCUUCAAGUCAGCCUUAGUUUCAUCAGCAGCUUUUAAAUCAGAGGAUGAUUCAAGGUUCUGCAAAAGUUAAGCCAUCUGAAACAAUAAGCUAAAAGGUUCUCAAAUUUCAAGGAGAUAAAAGAAAAAAUUGUACAAGAUCACACCACCUUCUGCAUAUGUUCUGCUUCAGUAAAGUCGCACAUGCUCUCUACUGUAAAGGAUCUACCAGUCUUGAUUCUAGACAUGAAAGCUGCACAAACAAAUGUGUCCAGAAAAUAAUCAAAACGUUUUCAUAUCCAAAGAACACAAGAAAUCACUUUUUGGGAUCUUUUCAAGUCUUGAUGCUCAGUUUUUUCAACAAGCAUAACCAGCAAAACCAGUCCUCACUCUUCAUUCAACAAAAUAAACCAUUAAUUCAUACCAGUACAAUGUAUAAUCCAAAGGAAACUUAUCUUAUUAAACUAAUUUAGUGGUAUGUUGUGAACAAAAUUAACAUAAAACCCCCAAUUUCGAAUGUAUGGUUACCACAUCCAUCUGAGUUGAUCAAAUUUCAUGAACUCUUUCUUUAACUCUUGCUUUAAACAAUUCCUAAACACUUGAUUACAUGAGUUUGUGAAUUAUUCAAAAGAAACCGUCACCAGAAAUUGAACUUGCAACCGCAACCUAACAAAUUUUUCACUCAAUCAAACACCACAGGCACGGGGCAAUUUCAAUUUCAAUUUCAAAAAACAGUGCAAAAUCAGCAAUUGAAACCCUAAGUUACUGCAAUUGAGGCAAUUGAAUUCAAACAAGAAAACCUAAUAUGGAAAAGAAAGUAUAAACUCCAGAUCUGGGAGAGAGAAGACGUACGGGAAGAGGCGUAGGGGCGAGCGGAGUGGAGUCGAACUGCUCGGCUUUGUUCUUGUCGGCGUCGCUCUCCUCCUUCAUAAAAUCGAAGAAUCGCGGCGCCCAGAAUUCGUAGACCUCGUCGAUCAUGGAGGUUUGCGCCUUCGUGUCCGUCAUUGCCUUUCUCCUCCGUCGUCGCCGGCAUCUCAGAAAUCGUUUUGGUCUGAAUUUAGUGAAAACUGGACAGGAAUUUCAGAGAGAGAGAGAGAGAAGAGAAUUGGGGGGAUUUAAUGGAGAGCGAGCGGGGGGUAUAACGUUUGGGGAAGGAUCUCUCUAACGGUCCUAUAUUUUGAAAUUGGGGAGUGAGUUGUUCUUUUUUUUCUUUUUUUUUGAUCAGGAAGAGAGACGACGCCGCAAGAGAGACGACCGGAAAUAUUUUGUUGCCUUUUCUAUACCCAGUCGAGGCCCAGACGACGCCGUUUCUGUAUAUCCACGUUUGUUAGUAUUUUAUUUCAGGUGAGAUUUUGGUCUAAACCUAUAUCUUAUAUAUCAUGCAUAGAUUUUUUUUUUUUUUUUGGGUUUACAAACGGACCUAAAAGGAAAGCCUGAGCAGCAUGUAUAUCUAUGGUUAUUACUAGUUUAGGCUUCAUCUGAAUAAUAGGAAAACAUCAACCUCUAUAGAAAAAAAAAUUUAUUAAACCUGACCAACUAAAUAUAUAUAUAUAUAAAAUUUAAAAAAAGUAUAAAGAACUCUAAGCAUGAUGAAGCUCAUUUACGUGUGAAAGAGAACCGUUAGCAUGCGGCAGUGACAAGUCUCUGGUACUUGAUUGGAACUUGUUCAUCAUUUCUGCCAUUGAAACAAAUGGUGAUGCGGGUUCCCGAACAUACGUCUGUAGAUUGGGAAAGUAUCAACUACUCAAUUCUGAUAUUGCGUAACUAUCUUAUACCAAAGCAAGUGAUUUUGAUUACUUAUGGUAUCAAAAUCACGACAGACAUCUAAGUUAAACAAAUUUUCAAAAAAUAUUAUAACAAUUAAUCAAAAAAAAAGUUAAAGAAUGAAAAAUUAUAAAGUAUAAUUAGCCAAAACUGACAUGUCUCAGCAAAAUCAUACCUCUCUCCUUUUAGACUCCGGCAUCAAUAAAUUUCCUUCAAAAUCAAGACCCAGUUAGUUAAAAACCAACAACAACAGAAAACAAAAUCAAAACCCACAAAAAGGACGAACCCAAUACAAGCCAAGUUAACCUUGUUACGGCCUCACACACAUAGAUCUAAAAUCCAAUUCCAAAACACAACUAAACCCAAACAACAAAUCAAAUGGUAAACCCUAUUCAAGGCCGAGAAACCCAAACCCAAACAACAUAUCAAAUGGUAAACCCUAGGGUUUUGAAGGCCGACGGCAACAAAAUCAUAUAUUGCGUUCGCACCCACCAAUUAAUCAAUUAAACCAGAGAAUCAAGAAAGACCUAACUAUUUGAUUCAAGCAAACACAAAUUCAUAAGCAAAUUGAACCAGAGAAUCAAGAAAAGACUCAAUUAUUUGAUUCAAGCAAACAUAAAUUCAAAAGCAUAUUAAACCAGAGAAUCAAGAAAAGACUCAAUUAUUUGAUUCAAGCAAACACGAAGCAACAGAGAGAGCAAGAGUCUNNNNNNNNNNNNNNNNNNNNNNNNNNNNNNNNNNNNNNNNNNNNNNNNNNNNNNNNNNNNNNNNNNNNNNGAUCAGACGUGACAAAUUGACGAUCCGAUUGACGGGGUUGACGGGCCUCUCCUCCAUUUUUUUUUGGGUCCCCAUUUUGGCUUUUCAAGUAAGAGUCUGUGUCUUUUCAACAAAUAUAAAAGUCAAAAGUCACCUGCAGAAGCAGUUGAACUAAACUUUGUCAUUGUGGAGUCAACAACCGGUGCCACCAAAUAAAACUUCCAUCUCCACCCCAAGCAAGCAAGUCCNCUUUAUAUAUAUAUAUAUAUAUAUAUAUAUAUAUACACACCACCCGCGCGUUGCUGCGAGUUAGGAUUUCUUGAUGAUGAACAAUAUUCAAUCCCACCUCACGUCUCCCAUGCCACCACCUUUUCCAAAUCCACCGCCGAUUCCCCCGCCUUCCCCUAUUUUUCAACAAACACAUCCAUCUUUCUCAAACCCACCACCAACAUCAGGGCCUCCAUGCCUGCAAAUCCACCGCUCACCUUCAAUUCUACCACCUCCUAUUCCGCCACCUGCACAAAAUCCACAAUUAACUCCAUAGACUCUACCAUCCUUUUUUUAAUUCCACCACCAUACCAUGGCCUUCUCUUUACCAAAACUCACCACAGACACCUCUGACCCCAUGCCCACAACCAAGUAAAAAAUGGAAAAUGACAUGAAGAAGUAACAAAAUUUUCAACAAAACAAACUUUUUUUUGAUAAGAACAAUGGCACAUUUGUAAAUAAAUUUGGGUAGCACCGUCUUUUUGGUCAAUAUAAUGGAAGAUUCGUAAAUAAAUUGUAUUAAAUGGCAGCAUUCUGUCAUUUCACCAGAGAAAGUACAGUGUUAGUUGCCUAAUGUUAUAGUAUAUAGAACUAGAUUUUUUUGCCCGCGCGUUGCUUAGGGCCAGUCCUGAAGGAUUGAAGACUCGGUGCGAAUAAAAAGUUGGGGGCCCCUUAUCUCAAUUUUUUCUAGAUCGGUAUAUGAAAUUUGAAACAACAAUAUGAGAAAGAUAUUGCUACAUGAUAGGUUAAUUAGUAUUGUAAGGUGAAUUAGUAUAGAUUAGAUGACACACUUCUUAAAAUUUAAUUCGAUGAAUAUUUCCAAUCUUUUUCUUAAACAAGAUGAAUUUUGUUAUUCUUAAUACUUUACUACUUCUCAUAAUAACAUUUGUAGUUUUUUUAAAUAGAACACUAGUAAUUUACUCCAAUACAAAGUAUUUAAGAAAAUAAAUAUGAUGAAUUUCUGAAACAGUGUUGGAAAAAAAAUUCUGAAACAAGCAAUUGAAAAUAAAUAUAAAACAUGAUAUUUAAGUAAUAAAUAUUAGCAUAUGAAAAAAGUAAAUGAAUCGAUAUGCAAUAGGAUGGUCGUUGUGUUGUUUGUGUUCCAUUUAAACCACCAGAGUUCGAAUCACAUAUAAAAGACGCAUAUGUUACUAUGUUGAUUGUAGUUGCAUAUGUUAUAAUGUCAGUGGAGCUAUUACAAAAACUGUAAUAGAUAACAGUCUUGUGUACGUAGAGUUGAUCUAGUCUUGGCACAUCUGAAUUCGCCUUGCAUCCUUUCUACAGAGCCAAUCAAACAAAAACAUAGAUUAUUACUUAUGUAACUUAGCAAUAUAUUAGCGAAAAUAAGAACAAAAAUAAGUAAUGUAGAAAUGACCACUUAGUUAUAUUUGUGACUACAUGAUAUCCUCAAUUCCUUCUCAUUCUUAACCAAAAAGAACAAAACUUCAAGUUAAUGCAGCUAAUGUCUUACAUCAACAUUUACAAUAUAAUUCACAUAGUUGAAUUAGACUCUUUUCCUUGCAGAGACACCCUUCAUACAUUUUUACACAACAUCCAAAAAAAAUAGAACUUUGUGUGAUACCAAUAUUUUUGAAGGCAUGCAUGAUACUUACUACCAUAAGAUAAUUCCUUUCUUAAAAUAUUUGAGAUUUUCAGGUAAAAUGCAUUAAUCUGCCUAAUUUAUAACACUGAUUUCUUUCCAUAUUUCCCUUAAUUUUUUAGAAGAUAACAGUUCUGCGCCUAAACUAUUUCCUUGUCCAAAGACUUCUUUUGCAUUUGAUAUCCAUACACUUGACAAUAUCUGUAACUUUAUUUGAGUAUAUAUUGCAUGUAAACUAUAACUUUACCAACUGCUAAGAAAUGAAAGUCAAAUCAGCAAGCUAUAUACUGGAAUUUGGUGCAAUCAAUCAUUGAGGUCCUAGACUGCAGAAUAGACAAAGGCCGAAUCAGCUCAAAUCAGGUAAUGGGAACGAUUAUCCUUCCUGGAAGGAUAAGCUAAAUAUCAAACAGUAUAAAAACCACAAAAAAACGGAAUGAAAAAAUUUGAAAAUUCAAAAGCACUCAACUUAUCUAUUUGAUCUGAGCAUUGGAUUGGGAACAUCCCAAAUCUAUAGUCCCACGAAUCCAUCUUGGGGAAAAUUUAUAUUGCACUCUUUGCAUUCAAACACCAAAUUUCAUGCCACAAAAAAAAAUUCAAAUGAAAACACAAUAAAAAUUCAAAUUCAAACACAAAAGCCAAUAAAGUGAAGCAUAACAACAUCAAGAAUAUACAUGAGAAACUGACAAAUUGGAUCCCACCCAAAAUCAACCACACUCGACCAGGCACAUGUUAACAAAUCCUCCAUAGAUUUUUACUCAAAGAUAUCUCAUCGGCUCAACACCGAAAUUGAAAAAAAUAUAUGGAUAGAACCAAAAGAAUAGGAUAAGAAAUAUUGAGACAUUAGAGCUGCUCAAAAUAUGGACAAAUAAGAACAAAAUGGUAUUCAAUGGCGGGAUAUUUUUCUUUUUACCAAGAUCAAAGGCCAAAGCGGCUUGAACUCAAUUUGAAUCACAUAACACAGUUAUGGGAACAAAUUAAACCCUGUACAAAGAGCAAUAUCAGAAUCUCGAAACAUAUCAAAUAUAAAAAAGCAUACAAAACAUGCACAAACCCAAAUACUGUUCUCUCUUUCCAUACUCUCUCUUUCACUUUAUCAACGCUAGUCUCGCUUUAAAUUUUCUGCUAGUCUCAUUGACUCACGUUAUUGCUCAUUACAAAUCAUAUGCAGAUUAUAGAAAUAACCCAAUAGCACAAAGUGGAGAACUGUAAAGUACUCACCAGAGCUUGCAACAGUUGUUGCUGGGAUAUCAAUAACUAACCUGGAAAAUAUGCAUACAUGAUUUUCAAUGGGAACUGUGGCCAUAUGCUUAUAAUAUUUGAGCAGAAACUCUCUCAUCGGCAUUCAUGUCAUAUGACCGUCAAUCUAGACCGUUAAAAAAAUGAGGUCUAAAUAAGGUCGACAACAAAACAUACAGGAUAAUAAAAUAAGUGAUAAUUAAGAGAAAUGUUUACUUACUUUUUGCCUAAAAAUUGGCCCAUCCGAGUCUCCCAUCUCCCACACUUAGGCAAUGGCACUCCUCUAUAAUUUGAGCCGCCUCUAGGAAACCCGGUACUUUGUCAGGUUAAAUUGCUCAUCCGUUCAGCAAUAUGUUACAAAAGAAUAUAAUCAAUCUUCCCCAUAUCCACAAAAUCACAAAAAAAUAAAAAAAUAAUUGAAUAGCUGGUUGUACUGUUGAAGAUAAGUAAAACUGUUCAUGAUAAGUUCAGAGAAAACCACUAUCGAAAAAAAUUCAGCUUUCGUAAGGCAAGAAUUGAAGAACUCAAGUCAGUACUCACUUGUUUCAAGUCAUCUUUAUAGUCUUCAAUGUCAUCAUUUAUGUCAGCCUCUACUCCCCUAAACUUGAUUGCAACUCUAUCAUACACUGUAAAAAAUAAUUUAUUAUAUGUAACUAACUAAUCACUAAUAUUUCUACGUGUUCUUGGAGAAAUUUUUUGUUUGUUUCCCCAGAAAAUAUAAGAAAAUAUAAGAUUUUUUAUGGUAACCAAAAUAGUACUCGCUGAAAUCUAACGGACCCAAUAUUCAUCCUGUUGUGUCCCUCGAAUAAUGUCCCGCACGUGAGCGUCCCUGAUAUUUCUCCUCCCUUUUGCUUUGGGUGACUGCGUAUUCCCUCCGUCGCGGACCACCACCAAACUCAGCUGUGCUCUUGGGUUGAACUACAUCAGAGAUAUUUAGGUAAGUUGGAUUUAUCUAAUCUUUUAUUGGUUAAUUUCGAACUGAUUUUAUUUUUCUUUUCGUAUGAAAUCUUUGCUAAACUAUGUGUUGUGAAUUCACCCAGCUUCAAGAUUAGAGGUUGUUUAAUAUGUCAGACGGAAUAAUCACAACUAACAAACCGUCUAUAUUUUCGCUAUGAGCUUUGAUACUUAUUGCGUUUCAUAUUUUAGUUGACAUGGAAAUGUUUUUGGUGGGUUGUUUCUUUGAGUGAUUCAAGAGUGGUGUUUCUUGUUGUUGCACGCUCCAGUAUAUAUCCAUUGUCAUGGAUUCACAGGAAAACCAACCACAACCCCAUCCAACUCAAUCCUUAAACUUCAAAUUGAAAUCAUCUGUAUUCUAUGUCUCCUCCAUCCUAAUUCUCGUCCUGGCCAUCUCAUUCAGUUUCACCAAAUCAAACUUUCUAAAACCCCAACACCUCAAGUACACAUUCUCGGUAGAUCCCACCUUGUUUCAGACUAUUCUAGAGUUUAUUCACUCAUCCAAUAAAACCAUACAAACCCAAGAACCUGAACCCAUUUCGCUUCCCCGCAACUGUGUCAUGUGGAUGGCUCCUUUUCUAUCAGGUGGUGGCCACAGUUCAGAAGGUUGGUCGUAUAUUUUAUCCCUUCAUGAACAGAAUAGAACCCGCAGUUUUAGAAUUGCUAUUGAGCAACAUGGUGAUCUACUGUUCGCUUGAAUUCUGGCAGGGAUUGCCUGAAUAUAUGAAAGAUUUGGCAACUGAGCUUUACCGCACAAAAUGUAAUAUGAAAGAGACGAUAGUCAUAUGUCAUAGUGAGCCUGGUGCAUGGAACCCCCCAUUGUUUGAAACUCUGCCUUGUCCUCCAGCUGCUUAUGGAAACUUCAAAUCUGUGAUUGGUCGGACCAUGUUUGAAACUGAAAGGGUGAGUCCCGAACAUUCGAAAAGCUGUAACAAAAUGGAUUACGUGUGGGUUCCUACUGAGUUUCAUGUAUCUAAAUUCAUAGAAAGUGGGUUUGAUCCAUCUAAGGUGGUCAAAAUUGUGCAGCCUAUUGAUGUGAAGUUCUUUAAUCUAGUCGAGUAUGAGCCAUUAAAUCUUGCUUCUAUAGGGAAAUUGGUCAUGGGGAAGAAAACACGGAACUUAAAAUUUGUGUUUUUAAGCAUUUUUAAGUGGGAAUACAGGAAAGGAUGGGAUGUUUUGCUGAAAGCAUAUUUGGGAGGAAGAAUACUUUAUAUCUUUUAACAAAUCCGUAUCACUCGGAGAAAGAUUUCAGCAAUAAGAUAGUGGAGUUCGUGCAGAAAUCUGGAAUAGAAAAACCAGUGACUGGUUGGUCUCCAGUUUAUGUGAUCUGACACUCAUAUUGCCCAGUCUGAUCUACCUCCAAUAUACAAGGCAGCUGAUGCAUUUGUUCUUCCAUCAAGAGGGCUGGGGAAGGCCUCUGGUCGAAGCUAUAGCAAUGUCAUUGCCGGUGAUUGCCUCAAAUUGGUCGGGACCAACAGAGUAUUUGACAGAGGAGAAUAGCUAUCCCUUGAUAGUGGAUAGGAUGAGUGAAGUAAUGGAAGGGCCUUUCAAAGGACAUCUCUGGGCAGAGCCUUCUGUUACUAAGCUUCGGGUGUUGAUGAGGCAUGUAAUGGAUAAUGUCAACGAAGCCAAGGCCAAAGGAAGAAGAGCAAGGGAAGACUUGAUCACGAAGUUUGCUCCGGAAAUUGUUGCAGAUAUUGUUAUCAAACAUGUACUAAAUAUAUUCGAAAAGAUGGAUUGAUACUUGCUUUGGUUGUUAAUGGCAUGAACUAGUUUUCUUUGGCCGGUUAGCUAUUGAUCAGGUAGCGAGGCUUACAUCACAAUCACCUAAAAUUUUCAUAACAAACUGUAGUACACGUACAACAGUAAUAAUAUCCUAAUUGGUUACCAAAACUGGCCCCUAUCAGCCCGAAUCUGCAAUCAGUCUAUUCUAGCUCAAUGCUCAUGCACAAGACUAUAAACACACGCGAGCAAUUGAUCUACUAAUAACGCCACCUAAAGUUGAAGUUUCCGCUUGGCAGUCAAUCAGAAAAAAAAAAUAAUAUAUAUAUAUAUAUAUAUAUAUAUAUAUAUAUAUAUUCGAACUACUAGGGACCAUGCCUUUACUAAUUCUGAUGUAAAUCAAUUUUGUGCUCUUUGUAAGUCUGACUGAAACUCUAGAUCAUUUUUUCUUCUUUGGCCAGACUUUUCCCGACUUUUUUAUGCUGCAUUGUAAUUUAGGCUUUAUUGAUUGGUUAGAUCGUAUUGCUUAUUUUCAAACGGACACUUAAGGGUUUUCAAACGGACACUUAAGCUGUAGCCUUGGAAACUGCCUAUCAUACUAUAUUUGGAAUUCAAGAAAUAAUGUCAAUUUCACAAAUUAAUGUGCAUCUCCUUUUCAUAUCUUUUAUAGUGAUGCCAAUCCUUGCAGCUUCUAAAGGUCUGAGAGGAAUCAGGAUAUUCUCUUAACUGAGGCUUUAGCAGUUGGAGCGAGUCUUCAUGCAACUUUCAUUCAUGGUUUUCAUGAUUUAGAGGCGGAGUUGCUCAUUCAUAGUAUUAAGUAUUAACGGAGCUUGCCAUAUUGCUUGGGAAUUCUUGUUCUUGGUUGGAGACAUCAAACUCCUCGGCUUCGCAACUACAAAUAUCUACUUGUAAACAUGUGAGAAGCAAACUUUCUGACAGAAGUCUAGUUCAAUUCUCUUCCUCCUGCAGCAGUCAAGCUUUUCUUUCACACUUUUUUGAGUUCUGCUUGUCUAGAGGUUUUUCUUUGUAAUUUUGGUUUCUUGAUUUGGAUAGAGAAAAGUUCAAUCAAAUAUGAGCAACCCAACUCAAAAUGCUUCUGUUUGCCACCCUACUAUAAUUUUUUUUUAUCAACUUCUGUUCCAAUUUUAUAAGUUGAAAAUCCAAACUUUGUAAAGCACAUCAGUGUUCAGACACUUUGAAUGGUCUCCGUUCAAAGUUCAAACACUUACUCUUGAAAACCUUAUACAUACACUACAAAUACAACAAUUUAAUAACAAAGUUUACAUGCCAGCAAGUUUACAGAAGCCCUCGUUCCUAGUUUGGUUAUUCCACAUUGAAGAGCUGAAUUUUGGACUGGGUCAUUUGACAUUACAAAUUUACAAUACUCAGAAUGCGAUAGGAUCAUCUUUUGGAAGAGAAUGCCAUGGAAAUAGAACCUAGUUUCAGUCACCCUAAAAAGAUUGGAGUGAUAAGACUAGGGGCAUGAUCAAUGCUCAUCUUGGCAAGGGAGUCGGGUUAUUCAUCUAUAUUUUCAAUCCCAGCAUGGAAUCAGUAGCUAACCAAAUAAAAUAAAAAAUUGGUGAUUAGCAUAAUAUACCUCUAAUCUCCUUCAAUACCUGUCUUGAGCUAAAUCCUGAAUGCAAUCUACUUUUCCGCAGGCCUACUAUGUUCGUUCGACACAGAUGAAAUACCAUGCUCGAUACACUGGACAAAAAUUCAUUGUCAGGGACAAACAAGGAACUAUGAUUGUAGCCAGCUCUUGCUCUAUCCACACUGUAACUUAUUUUUGAUAUUUUUGUCCAAGGAUAAACCAACAAUAUCAUUUGAGACCAAUCAGUUGGCCCGCAAAAAUCAAUGCCUGAUAUACAUACCUCAAGAAGAUAUCCGUGCAGCCAAUCCAAUGUUUGUGGGAAUGUUGUUGCUGAUAUAUUAUUGACUACCAUCAAUCCCUGUUAGAUAUAAAUGACAAAAUAAAUAACUGUAAAGUGCAAACCAUUAGACCAAUCACAGAUGAAAUGAAUUGAAAUGACACGAAGACAUACCUGAGAAUUGAAUGAGCAAAGAUAGUCCUGGAUGGUCUUUAAGUUGCUUAUUAGUUUUAUCUUUAUCCUGGGAAUGAAAAAGAAAAGAAAAAGAGAUUAUGAUACAACAUUACAACUCAUAAGCUAUCAUAGGGUCAUCCAUCCUUAACUAAUAUCUCCAUAAAAACAGGGAACACAAAUACUUAAUACCUGGACUAGAGACUUAUCACUGAACGUACGUGCUCCUCCUCUAGCAAAGCUUGAAAAGAGAAGUUUUCAGAAAACAGAUGAUUCAGACCAAGAGGGAAUAAUUGAACAUAACAACAAUAAAACUAAGUAAAAUGAUCUUGAAGUUGCAUCAAAACCACCCAGAAAAAUUUCAAUUCAAAGAAAACAUAUCUGAGAAUCGAUGUUCUUUUCCCAUAUACGGUACUAAACAAGUUUGUUUUAAUAAUUCCGAUUCAGGAAUUAGGGGCCUAUCAAAGAGAGAGCCGGGCAACAAUUUUGUACUUCCAGUUUUACCUACCUUUGUCUAUUAUGUGCUAAAACAUGCCCAAAAAUAGCGUCCAAAACCUAUUAAUGGAGCACAUUCCAAGUUACUUGUGAACCUAAAGAAACCAAGGGUUAAAGAUUUUAAACCAAAGAACACACACACACAAAGUCACAGACCAAGGACACUGAGAAAGAGAAAUUCGCAUAGAAUACAUUUGGAAGAGAAAUGCAAAGUCGACCACCUUAUGAUCAAAUUCAGCCAUUUUCAGAACUAUAGGUAUAAUUAUUGGUUCCGGACCGGACUUCUCUUUAUUGACAAGAAAAUUUUUGUCUGUCUCUUCACCACUAAGCUUUUCACCUGUAGCACCACAAAAGUAGUUAGAAAAGUGAAACCUUAAAUGCUCCACUCUUUUUUUUCACUUCAACAUUUUAAUGCAUAUGUGUGAUUCUUGUCGAAGUUUGUGUGUGUGUGGGUUGGGCUUUAUGGUUGUUGUCCAUAUAAAUUUAGUUUUAUGAAAGUUUAAAGUUCAACCCAACCCCAUAAAUGGCAGUUUUAGAAGUGAAAUCUGCACUCUAUUUAUAAGAAUAUGUUUUGAAAAAAAGGAAGAUAAUAGUUAUUGAACAGAACAUAAACAUUGUGAGCAAUAUUUAGAGCAGUGGUUCACCGUUUUAUCAGACAAACUUGCAGCAAGGUAAAUAGCUUCCAGGUAACCUGAGAAAGUGUUGACUUCGUUACUUAGUGUCCCUUCUUCAGAGUUGACAUGCUCGGUAUAUAGUAGAGAAUUAAUUCCCAUCUGUGUUUUUGAAUCAUUCGCUGCAAGAUGGUUUGUGUCGGGAGUUUUCUCUUGCACAUCGGCUAGUGUCUUAUUUUCAUCAUCCAUUAGAUAAAUGCUUGGAUCCAAAUAUAUUCCCUGCCAUUAGAAAUAGAUUAAUAAGACUCGAAUAUGAUACAAACAAAGACCAACCCAGAAAAGAAAAAGAAAAUACCUCACAGCCUACAAAAGAAAAAUCAACAGAAUCCAUCAAAGAGGUAUAAUAUUAAAACAAGACCUGAACUAGGGAAAAAAAAAAAAAGAGGAGCGCUCCCCAACCUAGAUAGGUCAGACUAGCUGGAGUGUGACCCUAUAAAGAAGUUAUACAACUACAUAAUGCAGAAGAACCACUUAAAAAAUUAGGUCUCUUAAAGAGGUACACAAUGAAUUAUGGAGAAGUAUUCUUUAGUAAAACAGUCUAAAAUUCUCAGGAAUGUUAAUCAAACUGAUUACAAAAUCUGAACGCCUCUCAAGGCUGCCAGAGGGUCAUUUUAACUGCUAGAACCACUAAACAUCCACCAAUAAAUGUACCUUUUUUUUUUUUUUGAAAAGAAACAGCUUUUUAUCAAGACAAAAAACAAAGAACAAUGAGGCGGACAAGGAGUAGGAAAGAGAGCAGCAACAGCUAAAGGCAGAGCAGCUCAACUUUAAGAACUACAACUAAACAAACAGAUUAUACUACAGCUGCUUCCCAAUAAAGAAUAAUGAAAGAAAGACUAUAAUCCUUAAAUUCCUUAGAAGUACAAGCCCAUAAAGAUGCCCAGAACUUGACUCUCUCCCACAGGUCUUCCCUCUCCACCCCACUAUAGGAUUCAAAUAUUCUUCUAUUUCUUUUCAUCCAGACCACCCAGACUACCGCUAACACCCCACAACCCCAAAGAACUCUGGCUUUAUUCCCUUUUCCAAAAGCUGAAAGAUUUUCUUUGAAAAAAUCCUUCCUCUCUGAUGGAGCUGUCCAGACCACUUUUGUCUCCCUAUAUAAUUUCUUCCAUAAAAAGUUAACAACUUCACAAUGAAUAAAGACAUGAUCAACACUUUCCGCUUGAGCUUUGCACAAAAUGCACCAAUGAGGGGAAAAACAACAGCCUGGUCUUCUCCUUUGAAGAACAUCACAAGUAUUCAUCCUCCCAUGUGCCACAAGCCAACCCAAUAUUUUUACCUUAGUAGGAGCCUUGGAGUUCCAAAUAAACUUUGCAGGCGCAAAGAUCGGGUCUAGUCCGCUACUAAUUAAAAAUCUAUGAAAAGAUUUGUGAGAGAAUUUCCCAGUAGACUCGAGCUUCCAUCUCCUUUCAUCUUGUUUGGAUUCCACUAAACGAACAUUUUCUAGCUUAGACAUCAACGACGCAAACUCCUCAAUCUCCUGAUCAUUUAAAUUUCUUCUGAAUUCAAAAUCCCAACUCAUCAGAAAACUAGAGUGAACAACUAAUCUUUCCACCAAAGAAUUGGUAUAUCUCGAAAGUCUGAACAGCGAAGCAGAUGGUCUUUCUUGCUUGCCCUCUCCAACUCCAUCACAAAAGAAAUUUUUCAAAAGAGAUUCUACCUCUUAGCAACUCCAACUGGAAUCUGGAACAGAGAAAAAUAAUGUCGGAAGGCAGCUUAGAACUGCUUGAAUCAAUGUCAGCCUACCACCUCUUGAUAGAAAAGCUUUUUUCCAACCCUCCAAUCUCUUCUCAACUUUCUCUACUACUGGGUUCCAAAACCAGGCUUGUAACCUUAUCAGAGUACAGAAGCUGCACUGAUUCUGACCUUCAGGCCGUAACUGCUUAAUAAAUGCAGUUCCAGGGCUUCAAAAUGAAAACUGUUUUGCAGGCAUAUAGGUGAGAUAUAGGGCUAAAUUUCUGGAAAUUUUCAUGAUCAAAUCCUUCCCGAGCUGUAAAUUAUAGGCUCCCAAAGUCGCUGCUGAAAACUGGGCGGAAACUGUACUUCAAACAAACGUCAGUUUUCUCCAUGCCAUCACUUCACACACCUUCCUACCACCCAAUGAUGGUCAAAUAACCUUGUUACCUACAAGAUGAAACUCAAAAGAUCAAAUUACCUAGGUUGCCUCCCUAGAGGCGCUUGAGAUUAAAGACGUCAAGCCGGUCUCCAAACAACACAAACGAAAUGAAGAAAUUAAACACAAAGGAAAAGAAGUGGAAAAGCGGCCCAAAGCUACCUAAAUAGGUACACCACGGCCUUGGAACACAAAGAGGUGCUCCACACUUCCUCCGACACAAACACAAACUAAGAUACACAAACUUUUUUUUUGUGGCAUAACAACUUGCCAAACAUUUUUCAUUAUUUCACACACAAAGAAAGAAGCAAAGAGGAAACUACAAAGAACAUGCAAGUGACUAAAUGACCAUGUGUUUAACAGAUUCCUCCUCUUGCUUACUUGUACAAAAUAAAAUCAAGUUACUGAUUCUCUAAUAAAGAACCAAUUCAAUUUGUCAUAUAAAUGAGAACCCUACCCUAAAUCAACGAACUAUUAUAUCAGUUAGCACCCGCAGAUAACUCCCAUCACAUAAAUUCUCCCAAAUCCGUAAUUCCCACAUCGUAUACCAAAGCAAGUGAUUUUAAUCACUUCACGAUAGACGUCUAAGUCAAAAUAAAAAAAAUUCAAUCAAUUUUAUAUCCAAUUAAUCUAAAAUAAGUUAUACAAUGAAAAAUUAUAAAGUAUAAUUAGCCAAAACUGACAUGUUGUGCAAAACAGAGAAAGGCAUACCUCUCUCCUUUCAAAUUCAAUCUUCUCCUUGAUAUGAGCACAAAGUGCUAUGUUUAUAAUGUGUUUCCUACCCUAUUUAGCUAUGAUAUUCUCAUAAUAAUGCCAUUUCUAACAUGUUCUGUGAUUGUAAAGGACAUGAGAGCAUAAAUCAAGAAAAGAAGGCUAAAUCAUGGAAAUAACAGAAAAAUGCCGAAAAAGACAGUGAAACCUUCUUGCAGUCCAAGGAAGGAAGAAGAUAGCCCAAAAGAAGACCCAAGUCCAAGGAUGAAAGAGAAAAAUGCAGAAAGCCCAAAAGAAGGCCCAAGUCCAAGGAUGAAAGAGAAAAUUGCAGAAAGCCCAAAAGAAGGCCCAAGCUGUCCAAGGAAGAAGAAAAGUCAAACAUAAAUCACAGUCAAAUAUGAACCUUUGGGCCGAAAUACUCUGAUUGUUCCCGCAAUUGGAGUCCAAUUGCAUAGAGGCAGAUUGUUGUUGCUGUUGCGGUUCCAUUGCAGCAAUUCAAUGUGUGAUUUUGAAUAGUCCCAAAUGCUAGGUUGUUCUUUCUUCCGGUUUGAAUUUACAGCUCAUAUCCAGACAAUGAUAUCCUCCUGCAUUGUUACCGGAAGGCUCUGCACAAAUACAAUAUCUAAAUGAAUAUUUGCAAAAAUUAAGAUGAAAGUUAGAGCAAAUACAAUAUCUAAAUGAAUAUCAGUUGAGUUCAGCUCACUCUCAUAGUUGCUAGGAUCAAAGUUAGAGCACAUUAUUUCCCAUUAUACUUUAUUGCAGCUUUGUCAUAGGCCCUACAAAAAAAUGUACAUCAAUUCUCACUCCAAUCUUCAACUAAUUGUUUUUCUUCUUCCCAAAAAUGAAUAAAUUCAAUAUCUGUAUCGGUAUCUGUAUCUGCAACUUUGCAAACACGUACCUUCUGCGUCGUUCUCAGCAUCAAAUAAUCCCAAAUAAACGUACCUGUAAAAUCAAUCGUUAAGCUGUGUAAGAGAUUACAAAUGGGGCACAGAAACUUUCUCAUUGGCAUUUCAUGUCAUCUGACCGUCGAUCUAGACCGUCAAAAAAAUGAGGUCUAAAUAGGGUCAACAACAAAACAUACCGGACAAUAAAAGGGGGAUAAUUAAGAAAAGGGUUUACUUAAUUUUUGCCUAAAAAUUGGCCGAUCCGAUCUCUCACACUUAUGCAAUGGCACUCCUCUAUAUUUUGAGCCGCCUCUAGGGAACCCGGUACUUUAUCGGAAAAGUACAUGCACACAUUCCUCCUUUGUUAAAUUGCUCAUCUGUUCAGUAAAAUAUUACAAAAGAAUAUAAUCAAUCUUCCCCAUAUCCACAAAAUCACAAAAAAAAAAUUGAAAAGCUGGUUUUAUUGUUGAAGAUAAUCUAUAAAACUGUUCAUAAUAAGUUCAGAGAAAACCACAAUCCCAAAAAACCCAGCUUUCUUGAGGCGAGAAUUGAAGAACUCAAGUCAGUACUCCAUGUCAUAGUCUUCCAUGUCAAAUUUUAUGUCAGCCUCUACUCCCCUGAACUUGAUCGCCGCUCCGUCAUACACUGCAAGACCAACACGGAUAUUUUAUUUGUCAAUUCAUAGAAAAAGAGGUACUGAAACUUCAAAGUGGCAUUUCAAUAGAUAAUUGGUGAUAUACUGAAACUACUCCCCAACUUUAUAAAACAGGAGAAAUUAUAAAACAGGAAAAACCAUGAAUGGAUGAUAAGCCAAUGAAGUAUGGUAACACAGUAAAACACACCAUUCAAACCAUAAAGCUGAGCCACAAAGAAACAAUAACAUUGUAGGCAAAGUUGAAAGAAAAGACGAUGCAUUUUAGAAUAGCUAAGGAGAAUAAGCAAGCCUAAAUCUAAAACUAAUAAAAACCAAAAUGUACAAUUAAUCAAAAAUAUAAGUAUUGAGGAAUCUGAAGUAAAUAGACAACAACAUUGUAACAAAAAUUGAAAAAGAAAAAAAGAAGAAGAACAGACACCCUUACGGAGCAAUUGAUGUCGUCGAUCUUGAGGAAAAAUUAAUAUCAACACACUCUCACUCAGAACAUACUCCUUUAGUUUCCCGCACAAUAAAGCAAAUGAAAAUAUCAAACACACCAAAACCACAGUUUGAUCUAAUUGAACUAACCGAAAAGAUUGAAAUCCUUGAUCUAACUAAAAAAAUUAUUAAAAUCCAACCAAAUACCAAACACAGAUUUGACAAAAUAUAAUUUUUUCACUCACCUUGAUCCAACACAAAGGAUUGAAACCUCUGGAGCAAAUACUUGCAUUCAUCACCAUACCUAGUUUCCAGCCAGCUCCAAUUAUCUCUUCAAUUGUGAUUGCUUUUGGUAAAUCGAAAAUCAGUGAUCUGCAAACCCGGAAGAACAAUCAAAGUCAAGCCUCAGAUGAUGAUGCCCUUGCCACAAACAGUGUUAAUCAUGAACUUGGUUUCAUUGCUUUUAACCAUCUUCCCAACCAUGCUGCACAAGCCUUUCUGGAUGACAUUGCUACUGUUUCUAGAGCUAGGAUGAGCUCUUCCUCUAAUUUUUAGUCUGUUUGUUUUUUCUGCUUUGGGUCUUUUUGACCCCGUUUGUAACCAAAAAAAAAAGUCAAGCCUCACAUACCUCACUCAAUCUCAGACGUAAAAUACUUGAGUAUCCAUUCUUUCUCUCUUUCUAUUCUAUUGCAAAUCCAGACAUUGAAAACCUAUGUUGUUUGCAUAUACCAGAUGUAAAAUUGUUUUUGGUCAUACACAGCAAUCAAAGCUGCAACUAAAUAUUUUUGCUCAUAACUGUCAUCAUUAACAUUCAACAGGUACAUUUUGGGAUUUUCAAUCAAUUUUAGAUGCAUUGCAUUGCAUGCAUUUUAUCUAUGUGUAUAUAUUUCUGAUGAACAGCAAAUCCUAAUGUGAGUUAUCAAAAGGUCUGCAAUCACGCCCAAUGUGAAAAGUAAAAUAAACAGAACAGACCUUCAAUAUGAAAUUGAGUCCCAACAACCUUCACCGAACCUGCAAAAAAAUUAAAAGUAUUCGCAAGACCCAAUCCAAAAUCCAACCGGUCAUGUGAAUAAAUAACUCAAACUCACAUAUCAAAAAUGGACUUCAUCCAUACAGUACUCAUUCAAUCACAUUGCAUACAACAUUGCAAUCCUAAAUUCUUAACCUCAUAAAAGCUGCAAGUCCUCCAAUCGUAUCUAAAGAUGGAAAAAUCUGUCUGCAUUAUAAUAUAGCAGCAAUCGUUCUUAACAAUUCUCCAUUUAGAAGGCAAAAGAGCAACCAUUUUUGCAGCGCAUCAUCAAAAUUUUAUUUUAUUUUUAUAUGUACAAAGUCUUUGAAGCCCUAUUAUUCUUCUCCGUUUAUUUCUGUUCUAGUUCACACAAAAAUGCAAGCAGAUGAUGGAAAUAUGAUAUAUUCAAAGAUGGACAAUAGGAAAUGCAUAAUUAGAUGUAAAUAUGGAUGUGAUUCUCAGUAUGCAAAUGUCAUCCAUUAACAUUCUAUUACAUGAUCACCAAACCUAUCAAAUUUGAAUAAAGCUAAAACACAUAUACAUACUCAUAAUCUGUAAAACUAUCCACAUAUGUUACAAUAUCUUUCCACUCCUUUUACUUCCUUUUUAUUCAAAUACAAUAACACUAAAUCAACAGAAGAAAAAAGUAACCUGAAUUACAGAGGCACAGCAACAGCAACCAAAAUCUACCAGCAAAAUCAAAAAAUAAAUAGUUAGCCUUAAAGUUUAUAUAGUGAACAUAAGGAGACAAAAAUUUCUUAUCUAAUUUCUGAAAUACAUACUACCCCCUCACCUUCUAAAACAGGAAAAACUAUGAAUGAUGAUAAGCCAAUUGAGUAUGGUAACACUGUAAAACACACCAUUCAAAUCAUAAAGCUGAGCCACAAAGAAACAAUAACAUUGUAGGCAAAGUAGAAAGAAAAGACAUACAUUUUAGAAUAGCUGCAAAGAGAAUAAGCGAGUCUGAAUCUAGAACUACAUAAAAACCCAAAUGUGCAAUUAAUCAAAAACUUAAUUAUUGAGGAAUCUGAAUCAAAAACAUACAUGAUUUUCAAUUGGAACUGUGGCCAUAUGCAUAAAAUACAUUAGCAGUGGAAUACCUACUGAAUCUUUUUGGCUUCAAAUCAAAGAGGAUUCCCAAUACCACCAACUGUAAUUACACACAGCAGAAUACUACCAUGUUCGUUAAGUUUAACUAAUCUAUACAUCUAUAUAUAAUGCAAGCCUAGUUAAUAUGUGUAUGCUAACCUGUAUUGAAAAGUAUACUUUAUACUUUAUAGCAAUACGCAAGUCCAAUGGCAUACCUCAUUUCUUUACUUCUCUGUGCCCAUCAUAAAGUAUAUGUAUCCACAAUGCAAGUCUAAUCACAUCAUUUUCUUCUCUUUGCCUAAACUCUAAUCAGACCAAAUGGAUUGCAGCACACAAUACAAACUAAUCCAUCCAUAUUAUAAAUGUCACCAACAACCGAGUAUUAUUUUAGCUACAAAUUUCAUACUAUUGGCAAGGAACACUGUUUUGACAACCUGUAUUGUUUUAUGGGAUAAAAUUGGACACAGAACUUGGAAACAGAGGCAGGAACCAACCAACUGGUCGUCCUACUUCCAACGACCCGUCAUCCAUAUUCGGGUUUCCAAGCGACGCUGGCAGAAGGCAACCGAUUCCAACCGACCGGUCAGUCCGUCCAGAAACACCGACGCCUAGCAAGUGAAAUUAAGAAACCCAAUUUCCAAUAAACCAAUCCAAAAAAUUUGAAGAGGAAUCUAACCAAAAUUGAAGGUCCCAAAUUCAUUUGCACCACACAAAGCUGCAUGCAUGCACAUAACUUUGGCACCAAUUUCUCUCUUUCUCAAUUUCUCCCCAACCCAAACAUCGAAGAAUCAAAUACACAACAACAGAACAUAUUAAGUUGGUGAUCAAUGAUUACCAUUUACCCCAAAAACAAACCUGUUCCGACCUGAGGGAAGUGAGGAGAGAUAGAGAGAUUGAUCUACAAAACACAACGGGAACCUGAGAUCAAUGGAAAAAAGGAUUGAUAACGGACAAAGAAAAAAAGAAAGAUAACAGAAACUUACAAUAGAUAAGGAAGGAUUAUGUCAGAUUCAUCACAUACAAUGAUCAACUCUCGCUUCCUCCACUCUAUCUCACUAUCUCUCGGUGUCGAGGAACCAAAAACGAUUAGAUAAAAUCCAUAAAAAAAAACGAUUAGGUGGAAGCUUGGCAGAUGAACAGAUAGCAGGACAAUGGAGUAAAAAGCAAAAGACCACAGGGGCAGCCAAACCAAAUAGAAAAAAAUACAGAGAGGGAAAUAUACUUUAUAUGAAAGAAAACAGAUCGGAAGAGGCUAACUGUUAGUUCACCAGUCAAAGAAUAGCUCAAACCCUUUGAAGAGCAAGUAUCAGAGUUUCUGUAAUUCGAUUAAGACUUUGGAGUCAUCACGCCUUGCCCAUCAAAUCAACCUGAAAGAAGAGUUUAUGAGUGAUAUAAGAAUAACUUUCCUAUUCAAAUAUCCAACACAAAGAAUAGAAGAGCAUAUUAAAAGGGUUGAACAGAUGAUCGAUGGUUACCCCAUACACACGAACACUUGUACGCAUACAUGAGAGAAAAAGAAGGAUACUCCAGGCCCCCAAGUGAUUAAUAGAAUCCUCCUCUUGCUUGCUUGUACAAAAUAAAAUCAAGUUACUGAUUCUCUAAUAAAGAACCAAUUCAAUAUGUCAUAAAUGAGAACCCAACCCUAAAUCAACGAACCAUAACAUCAGUUAGCACCCGCAGAUAACUCCCAUCACGUACAUUCUCCCAAAUCCGUAAUUCCCACAUACACCAAACCAAGUUAUUUUAAUCACUUCUCGUAUCAAAAAUCACGUCUAAGUCAAAAAAAAAAUCAAUCAAUUAUCCAUUUAAUCUAAAAUAAGUUAAACAAUGAAAAAUUAUAACGUAUAAUUAGCCAAAACUGACAUGAGACCUAACCCCAGCAGCAUUGAUACUCUGUACAAAUGAAAGGAAUAAAUUGCAAAACUAAUACGGCAAUGCUGAAAUUGAAGACCAUGACCAAGUUGAAAAAACCAUUUUGAUAUGUAUCAUAGGCAACUAUUCAUAUAUUCAAGUGCAUCUUACAUAUCGUUCCUCAAAGAAAAGCUUGUCGAUCCAGGAACAUUGUCUCACCAGUCCCUUAAUGUUGCUUUUCAGGUACUUCUGAAUUGCUGCAAUAAAUGAACCCCAACUGAAAAGCAAAGAAAAACAGGACCAGCUCAAAUUCACAAACAUUAAAAAAUGAAAAUCUAGGGAAAAUUGAAAGGAUUACCAAGACCACAAAAAUAGACCCAAGUCAAUAACGUCCAGAGCCAACCGAAUCCAAAACCUCCCUAGUCCCCUUCACCAUAGUGUCAGUAGCUGAUACUGUAACAACAAUAAGAAAACCCAUAAUCAGUGGCUGAAACUGUAACAACAAUAAGAAAACCCAUAAUCAGCAUCGAAUUUACACAGAACCCAAACUAAAAAUUGAACAGCGAAUUUGUUGAACGUAUACCGCAGGCACAGAUAGGAAACUGCAAUCAACUUGUAUACUGCAAUCAACCCUAAACCCAAUCAGUUAAAAACCAACAGCAACAGUAAACAAAAUCAAAACCCACAAAAAUGACGAACCAAGUCAUUACCGGUGCAAGCCAAGUUAACAUGUAUUUGAAAUAUACCUUCCAACUAUUCAGUGCACUUAAACAAACCAAGUCUAAUCCGGUGCAAGCCUACAAAUCCCAAACAGCCAAGAAAUAUGAGUAGGUCAACGACAUAGAGUUAAGCAAAACGAUAUGCACAACACAUAGUAAAAUAAGAAGGAAAAGGAGCUUUUUGCUUAUCAGAACAUAUAGUUUACUGACACAGCAUUUUGUUCCUACAUAUUACUUCCCUUGAUCUUUUAUAAAUUAGUAAACUGUGACUUCCACUUUCCUCUACUUGUUACCAAUACCAAACAUAUUGGUAGAACAGGAUUGUAAGCAAGGAUCCAAGUAACAGAAUUUGAAGAAUAUGGCAAUGCUUUGGAACUUGAUUAAGUUCUAACAUCUAAAGUUACCGUUAAUAAAAUAGGGUGACAGCACCCAAGUGAUCAGUUGGCAGAAAGAAACCAUCGUUUAAUCAUGCUUAAAACUCUCUUCCUAUGUAUAUAUAUAGUACUAUAAGCCUUCAUAUAUCUACUCUUAUAUAUAUAGUACUAUAAGCCUCAGAAUUCGAAGAAUCAAUAAAUAAUGAAAAUGUCACUGCACAGAUACCAUCAUCACAGGUUCUGUCAUGAGAUCUAUCACUGCGAAAAGACAUAUCCACAAACAGAAAACAGGUUUUGCUAUUCUAAACAUUUAUAGCACGAAUGGAAACAAAACAUGUCAUAAUUAAUAUUAUUAAGGAAAUAACAUAACUAAACAGGGUAGGAAAUACGUUAAGAUCAUAGCAUAUUAUGCGUCUGUCAAAUUCCCCCACACUUAGCUUUUGCUAGUCCCUUAGCAAAACCACAACGACAACUCGAUAACAUUUACAACAAACAAGUCACAGACUUUACAAGUGACGAACGAGAACUCUAAUGCCCAUAACUAUUGUCUCAAAAUCCCUAAUCUCAUGGCAUCAAAAUUAGCACUCAAUCAAGAAUUAUUCUAUGAAGUUUCGAAAGCUAAUUGCCAUGCAUUGACACGGAAGAACAAUGGUGAUGGUUAAGCUCAGCGUGUUUCACCAUUGCUCUAGACAAAUAUGAUUCAAUCUCACACAGUAUGCACUCAUUUUUCACUCAGAUUUUCUGGCUUAAACACUCAAAAGUAUGCAAGAGGAAGUAUUUUGAGGCAUUCAAAAAGUUUACAUUUAUAUGAACAAAAAGCACAAUAGAACAGAUAAUAACCUCAUGAAAGAAUCAAUCACUCACACAAAUGAACCAUACCAUAGGCUCAACUCUUGGAAGAAACUCCACAUAUCAAGUUUUAAUCAUCUUUCAUAUCAAAAGGAACUUUCAAAGGUGUUAAUGGGGCUGGGCUACGGGUAUGAAUUUAAGAGAAGGUAUUGCAAAAUUCCUAAGGACCUAGCAGAGCAUUCAAACACGUCUUAUGUUGCCACAGCAAGGGCCAAAUGUCAUCAUUCUGGGACCUUCGUCAUUCCAACAACUUUACAACAUCAUGAAACAGAACAAAGGCCAAAUAAUUUCAUUUUUGGGCCUUCCAUUAACAACCAAAAUUCCCAUUUCACAACACAAAGAGAAUGUCCAAUUUUUUUUCUUUUCUUUUUUUUUCCGUCCGAAAUUUUCUUUUCUUUUACACAGACAUUCAAUUCCCCCACACUUGUUUCCCAUCAUCAUUUCAUACGAUACAUCACAAUUGCUCUACUAAGCCCAAAAGACAAGGGUAGAGAUAUCAUUGUACUAAGCUCAAGGUAAAGAAAAAAAAAAUUUGAAGCCACUAUACAAUCGAUACAAUUUUCUUUAUUUGGGUACAUCUGUAACUUGACCGGAAAAACUGCUUAAAAAUGAAACUCAAAUCAGUAAGCCAUAUACUGGAAUUCGGUGCAAUCAUUAAGCCUUGGCAAUGUGCUUUAUGUUGAAUGCUCUUGAUAAUUAUUAUUAUUAUUAUUCAGAACCACACAUUAUAUUUAAGUGUGCAUGUAAAAUUAGCAAAAUGCACAGGACUAAUGUGGGUUAAACAGUAAUACCUCAACCAUGAGAACACCGGGCAAGGGAAAACGUUCUCAUUUAUCGUCACAUCUUAAUAGCAACAGUUGAAACACCUGGGUUGUUCUCGAUCUCUCUAUCCACCAAAAGAAAUGGAAACCUGCAAAACACCCAAAAGCCAAAAAGCCUAAAAGAUCAAAACUUUAGAAACAAUCACUAAAACCAUCCAAUACGCACCAACCAAAAACAGAUCAAAAACCAAGACCACUCACCUGUGAGGCAAGAUUUCACAUAUUUGAUUGAUACCAAUCAAUGUUGGAAAAGGUGGGAAUUCUGAAAUAAGAUACUGAUCAGAAUAGCCUCAUUGAAUGACUUUCUAAAACAGAUAAAAGCAAUGAAAUUGAAGUCAAAAUUGAAGAAUGUGCUUACUCAAUUCAAUUAGGGAGUCUUUGGGUUUGGCCGUUUGGGGGCGUCUUCUUGAGAAGAAUAACACACAUGAGAUUAGAUUGGAGAAGAAAUACAACACUACAGAGUGAACUAACUAAGAAGAGUAAAGAUAACAAACUUGUUUAAGCUGAAGCAAGUUCAUACCAGUCGACUUUCCCACCGAUUCCAUAGCAUUUCUUCCGGCCUCUUGAUCUGUGCUAUUACCAACUGCAGCUGUACAUAUCUCAAAAAGUAACGAAUCCCAAUCAGAUAGUAUUCUAUCAAUUUUUUCUGUUUUAUUUAAAGAAACAGAGAGAACUUGGCGUACAAACAUCAAAAGUGUCAGUAAUGUUGUUUUGGGAAUUUUGCCUUACCCUCAAGAAGCAGCCUCCUGUCCAUUGAUUCCAUCUCUCUUCUUCCUUCCGACCCCAGUCGUCCGCGAUCAAAUUCAGAAAUCAUACCUCAAAUCCAAAAUUUAAAUUCGUAAAAGUAUAUCAAGUACCACGCAUAAAGAUUUGGAAUGAAGUAAAAUAAAGAAAAUUGAAGAUGGUAUAAAUUCUACUUCAAUUGAACUUUCAUCAAGAGUGACAUUAUUCAGAGCAAAAUAAAAGUACACACCGAGCAACCUUUAUUAUUCAGAAGUUCUAGUGUAUAAAUUCAGAAGUUCAUAAGUUGAAUUUGCAAAUAAGACUGGCGUUUAAAAUGAUGAUUUCAUUGUAGUAUUAGGAAAAAAAAUAAAGGAAAUCUAUGCUUAUCAAUUUGAAGAUGAAUAAAUACCCUUUAUAGGGAGGCCACAUAUUUUUCUUUUGUUACAGCGUUCACGAGGCAUUCUCAUAAUUAGACACUAGAAAACUUGUAAAAGCCUAUGUUUCCAGUACUUAAGUGUUGCCGAAUAAGACGCUGCUGCGUCAAAUUCUUGGUCAUCAGAAGUGCCUGCAUAUACAUCAGAUCAAAUUAAUGUGCUCAAAUUAAUGUGCUGUUAAAAUCUACCGAGUAACCAACAAAUCUCAUAUUGGGUUGAAAAAAAGAAGGCUAAAACAUAUUGAUAACUACUUGUUCUCUAUCCCAAAACUGACCAGUAAACACUCCCAACUCCUCCAUUCCCUAAAUUGCUGUCAUAAUUGAAGUUGUUUGUUGCUGUAAGUUCCUUCCAAGGUAAAGAGCAUCCAUGUUGGCUGCUUUUUUUCUUUUUCUUUUUUUCUUGUUUUUACCUAUACAUCAGAUUACAUUCAUCAAAGCAUGUGGUUACUAAUAUUUUAUGACGAUCAAUUUGAAACUAUGUAUAACCUUCUCUUCUACAUAACAAACAUCAAAGGCAUCAAAAGGACAUACCUUCAUAUUCCAACGAAAGCUAUUCCAUAGGUCUCCAGCCUUCUUCCAUUAAUUAACAACACUAGGAUGUCUGCCUCGCGCGUUGCAGGCGCCUGUUUUUAAAGUAAGCUUCCUAAUAAUAUCACUAUACACUGAUCAUUUCAUUGUUACGCUACACAACUAAAAGAAACCCCUAAUUUCAUAUUAUAGAACUGGACUUGCACCUCUUCUCUUCCCGGGUGCUGCUGCGGUCUUUUAUUUCGAACUAAUGACUUUACAUAAGUUCCUUGCUGUUUCAAAUGUUAGAUAGUUUUCUGUCAGUGUUGAUCUGGAUGCUGUUUGCUGGCACUGAGAAACUGGGUAGAUUAAACAAUAUUAGCUGUUUUAAAGAAAACAGUAAUGUAUCAUUAAACAAUGAAAUUCAAAGGACGGCAAUAUUUAGAACAGUGACAUAUGAAAUUUAAGAAUUAAUUAAUGGCAAAUAAAAGAGGGAUGCUGAUAUUGCAAAAAGUUUAAGAUACAUAGUUGGGAAUACAGAGAUGCUAUGCGCCAUGGAUUUGGUUAAGUUCCCUACUGAUUUAGAGUUACUUUGAUAACCACCAAGUUCCAACUACUAUUCGCAGCUCUUGCUUGUACAUAUAUGCAGACAUGCAUGCAUAUAUAAUAGUAAAUCACAAUUCUCUUACAAAUUCAUAAUCAGAUGAAAUAUAACAACUGCAAUACAAAAUCAGAUUAACCAAGUAUAUUCAUAGCUCUUCAUUAAUGUAAAGUAUUAAAAGGUAAUUAGAUGUUGAGUUCAUAACUAAGCCAGAUGUGCAAUAGAGUUAAACAUAAGCAUGUGUACUGGACCUAGUAUUAUGACCAUUCUAUUAAUGACCUGUUCGUUUAGGACAGAUGAGAGUCGAGUCGAUUGAUGACUUUAAACAUGAAGCAUCAGGUGAACUUACUCUGUAAAUUCAACUUAUCAAUCUGCUCCUUCAGGGUCUCGAGAUCCUUCUCCAAGAUCCCCAUCUCUCUCACCUUCCUUCUUUCUUGUCCCAAACAGUAUAGAAACCACACAAAAACGGAAUGAAAAAAUUUGAAAAUUCAAAAGCACUCAACUUAUCUAUUCCAUCUGAGCACAGGAUUGGGAACUUCCCAAAUCUAUAGUCCCACGAAUCUAUCUUGGGGAAAAUUUAUAUUGCACUCUUUACGUUCAAACACCAACUUUCAUGCCAACGCACAAAAAAAAUUCAAAUGAAAACACAAUAAAAAUUCAAAUGCAAACGCAAAAGCCAAUAAAGUCAAGCAUAAAAACAUCAAGAACAUACCUGAGAAACUAACAAAUUGGAUCCCGCCCAAAAUCAACCAAACUCGACCAGGCACAUGUUAACAAAUCCUCCAUAGAUUUUCACUCAAAGAUAUCUCAUCGGCUCUACACCGAAAAUGAAAAAAAAAAUAUGGAUAGAACCAAAAGAAAAGGAUAAGAAAUACUGAGACAUUAGAGCACAUAAAAGCAUUGGUUUUCAAAACACUAUCUCGUCUUUUAACAUACCCGUCUCAGGAGGGAGGUAAUCAAGAGUGCCACAUAUGGUCCACCUGCGAUUGAAUGUAUGCACUGACCACCCAAAAUCUGCUAUCUUGAGUGCACCCUGACAUUAGAAAUCUACAUUGACAUGAAAAGCAACAAGUAUGCAUCAAUAAGUCAUAAAAAGGAAACAUAUAACAGCAUAGUAAGGCAUUCAGCACCUGUUGACCAAUGAGAAGGUUUUCUCGUUUGAUAUCUCGAUGAAUUACGUGCUUUCCAUGACAGUAUAUAAGGGCUCAGGCCAAUGAUGCAACAUACUGCAAAUACCUCAUACGAAAAAACAUCAGAAUUUUUAUUCUAUAAACAACUGAAAGAGAAUGAAUUCGACACCACAAAAAAACUUACGGUGGCUGCACGUCUUUCCCUAAAGUAUUUACACUUCUGGAGUUCCUUGUAUAGUUCACCUUUGGUGGCAUAUUCCAAUAUCAAAUAAACUCGUUUAUGCAAUAAUCAAAAUUCCACUGCAAGGGUGAGUGACUCUGUACCAGAGUGGUUCCAUUAACUAGGAGAAGUUCAAUUUGGUGCAAACAUAAACCACAUAUGAGCACUAUACCUGAUCAUAAAAGUAGCCAUAAAGACGUAGAACAUUGGGAUGGCAAAGAUGACUUUGUAUUUCAACUUCCGGGCGAAGCUGAUGCUCAACCUGAGAUUGUUGCAACUGGCUCUUGAAGAGGACAUUGAGUGCCACUAUGUGAUUGCUCUGUUUCAGGCAUAGAUACAGAUCAAGAACUGUUGUAUACACACCACUAAAAGCAGGUAAACAGAGAGAUACAACACCACGAUGAUGCAUAGCAAACACUCAUUUCCAACUUAAAAUUGAAAAAGCACAUUUGAUAAUAAACACUCAUUCCACAUCAUUUGAUAAUAAAGCACAUUAUACACAAAUCUCAUCCCCUCUCUACAUUUCUAUCGAAAAGUUUACAAAAAUCAGUAUAUCAUCAUCUGAUCACCUAUAUAGGCUAACCAGUGCAGUUCCUAUCAUCAACAGCUAUAGAAGAUCAACUCCAUAAACCUAUUUAAGACCAGCUCUUUAUAUUCACAAACUUUCCAAAACAAACACCCAAUUUAUAACCAAUGCGCAUUGCACUAUCAACGCCAUACAUAAUCUGAACCCACUAAAAAUUGAAAAGCGGCAUGCUUUAGUACAAUAACGAUUGGAUCAAAUACCCCUUAUAAACCCCAACGUAAUUCUAAUUAAACACUUGCUUUGAAAGAAAACAUAUCAAUAAUUAUACUUGUAACCCGAAGACCCAGAACUACCUUCCCUAUUCUAGCUGAUGAUACACUGCAAAUUUCGUCAAGACCAGAAAGAGAUCAACAUAGAUCAUAAACUGUUCAAAUUUCAAAAAGGGAGCAAAGAAGAUCGAAAUUCAGAUUCACAAUAUAAAAAACGAGAUAAAAAAACUUGGGAGAAGUAAGCAAUCAUGGAAAAAUAUAACCCCCUUGUAGCCUCACACACAGAGCACCACCUUCAAUCUAAGAUCCAAUUCCAAAACACAUGCAGAUCAAUAAACCAAACAGUUAAAAGUAAAAGGUAGGAAGCAAAAAUACUUAUCAAAGUUAAAGACACAUUCGAGUGAACCCAACGGUUCUUAAGUAAACCUGUUCCUAAAUGUCACACUUUACUUGGCAUGACUUUAAUACAGAUACAGAGAAGUCAUGAAAAGGUUAAAGCUCUUCCCUUUUUCUAUUUUCCUUUUGCUGAUUGGUUUGAUCCGAAUUGAGAUAUUGUUCGGAAUCAUUGAUAAGUACUAUCAAAAACGGGUUUACAGACUGUGGCUUGGGGAAACAAAUUCAAACAAAUAGGAACUUCUCACUAAGUUUGAAGCACAAUUCUAAAGCACGAAAACCAAUCUUCUAAAACUCUAAUGGAUCAGUUAAAAACUGUAAACAUGACUUGAGAGCCAAAAACCCAAACUAAGUGUAAACUUCAAAAAUUCAUUUCUCACCUGAAAUUGAACAAACAGGAGAAAAAGCGGUCUCAAUCCAAAAUUCGAUACCCAUAUCUCAAAUUGCCAAUAAGUCGAAAACACAUAACCAAAUUUCAAAUUUACCAAGAAAAAGAAAACCAAAUGAUAACACAAAACCAAAACCGAAAUCAAACUAAGAAUUACAGACUGCUAUGCCAAUCCACCGGACAAGAACAGAAAAAGCAUUACACUUUAAUAAGAGGAAAGGAGAUCAAACAGGAAAGGACAUCAAAGCAAUUGAGCUAGUAAUUACGUUCACCAUCUUUAGUUUCCUAACCAGUCCAGUUAUCUCUGCAAUUUGUAUUCUGGUGGCACUCGAAAGCAAAAAAAGAAGAAAGAAAGCAAAAAUAUCAUAUUGAUACUCAGAUUAAGCAAAAUGAAAAUUAAAUCAAGCAGAUGAAAGCAAGGUGCAAGACUACCGCACAGACAAAACCUGAAUCAGCUCAAAUCAAGGAAACAGAUAACCCAGUCAAAAAUAACAAUGUGCAUCACAUUCUUCAUCAGAUAAACAUGCUGUUAUGUUUGAAAAGAUAGUGACUGACGAAGAUCAAAGCAAUUGACCUAGUACUUACAUUCACCAUCUUCAGUUUCCAGCCAGGUCCAGUUAUCUCUCCAAUUUAGUAUUCAGGUGGGACUCGAUAGCAAAAAGAAGAAAGAAAGAAACGAAAAUCAGAUUGAAACUCAGAAAGAAAGAAAUACAGUUUUCUUAUUUGAGUAUAUUGCAUGUAAACUGUAACUUUACCUCAUAAACUGCUAAAAAAUGAAAAUCAGAUCAGCAAGCGAUAUACUGGAAUCCAUCAUUGAGGUCCUAGACAGCAGAACAGACAAACGCCGAAUGGGAACGGUUAUCCUUCUUCAAAUGAUAAGCUCAAUCUCAAACAGUAUAAAAACCACACAAAAAGGGAAUCAAAAAAUUUGAAAAUACAAAAGCACUCAACUUAUCUAUUCGAUCUGAGCAGAGGAUUGAGAAACUUCCCAAAUCUAUAGUCCCACGAAUCCAUCUUGGGGAAAAUUUAUAUUGCACUCUUUGCAUUCAAACACCAAAUUUGAUGCCAUAAAAAAAAAUUCAAAUGAAAACACAUUAAAAAUUCAAAUGCAAACGCAAAAGCCAAUAAAGUCAAGCAUAACAACAUCAAGAAUAUAUAUACCAGAGAAACCAACAAACUGGAUCCCGCCCAAAAUAAACCAAACUCGACCAGGCACAUGUUAACAAAUCCUCUAUAGAUUUUCACUCAAUGAUAUCUCAUUGGCUCUANNNNNNNNNNNNNNNNNNNNUCUACAGUUUUCUUUAUUUGAGUUUAUUGCAUGUAACCAGUUCUGUUUCCAUAAAAAAAAAUUACACUGACCAGUGCACCUUAGAUUUCUUUACACGUGCAGUGAUUGGAUGAUACAUCUCCGAUUUGACAGGAUCAAGUGCUGGCUGUGACAUUUCAAGUCCCUCAUCCUGAAUAAUUGAUAGAUAUCUGCAUGAAAUCAACAUCUUUAAAAUGCAAUCCAAUAUGUAUUUAUACCAAAUUAAAAAAAAAAUUAUCCCAUAGGUGUUUAUGGUUUUAUGCCUUGAAAAAACAACCUACCACCUGAUAGAACUAUAUUUGUUUUCAUUUUAUUUAGGAGAUAAAGGGUGAUGCCCUCAGGUUGUAGUGCAACAUGCAUCUAAGGAAAUCCAAAGUUAUAAGUAUUUUUUUUUAUUCGAGGGGAAGGAGUCAAGCUCCGAUUAUAUUAAUAACGUCACCACGUCAUAGCUAGCCAUAUCGUAUGUUUUUAAACAUAUUUGAUCAAUAAAAUGUCUCACCUUCUCAUGAAAAAAGAAAACAAAAAAAAACGAAAAAAAAAAGACAAAAAAAAAAAGAAGGGCGAUGGGGAAAUUUACUUUAUUUUCUGUAACUCGCACUCACACUCCCACUCAAGCAUGAAAGCAGGCAUAAAUAAUGUGAAAUAUAACAGUGCUUCGUUAGGGAUGCUACGAUCAUUCUCAACAGUGACCUGAUUAUGCUUACCGUUCAGGAUCAAAAUUCUCAACUCCAAGUUCCUCAUCCCAGAGAAAAAUAUGUUUAUAUUCAGUCACUAUAUAUGGAUGCAUGAAACGUUUUGCGAACCACCUAUAUCAUCAAACAGCAUUUGUUUCAUUAUAAAACAAAAUAGAUUGUUCCCAUGCAAUAAUUGCCAACUUAUUCCUACCUUGCUCCAUAUCUAAGCAACUAAGUGAACCAAUUAAUGUACCAUUUUGUUUGGUUCAUCAGACACAUGAAUGGCAGGAUCACUCCAAUGUAAAUCCCUCCACCUAUCCACAGCACCAUCAUAAUGGAAAAGCAUUACCACAAAGUCACUUGAAUAAAAACUACAAUAAAAAAAAACAGAUAUUUAACACAAAGAUGGAAAUAUAGUUCUCAAGUAGAAGGUCAUAAACCAAGAAAGUCGAGGCAAUUACCUUCCGAACAAUUUUGUCCACUAUUCCUUUCUGUUUUACUCCAACUGCAAUGGCCAGCAAGCUCUUUGAAGGCGUUGAGUUUUUCUGUCACAAAAAAUUGCAAUUCAGAGGCAGUCAACCCCAGCAUUCACAAUACAAGAGAGCAAUAGGGAACUUUAUAUACAUGCAGCAAUAGAGAACUUUUUAUACAUGCACAACAUAAUAAAGUCACCAAGAAAUCUAAAUGUGCAGUAAACUAAAAGAUGUAAGCUUGCUCAACCAUUAUACAAGGUCUAAAAGAGUUUGGGCCGUAGCAAUAAAACAUAUGUUCUAAAUUGCAGUUGAACAUCACAAUUGCAGUUGCAAGUUAACCACUAGCAUAAUUUCCAUGUUCCACAUAUUUGGGGCUAGAAAAUGAAUUGUGUUUCGUAAUUUGCAAUCAAGAUGAUUCCCAAAGGAAAACAACUAUAGCUCAAGCAGAAAUCUGAGGCUAUUAAAUUAGAGAUGACAACAACUUCACAACAUGAAUCUGAAUAUAUCCUACAGACACAAUCAGUUGAAACAGAACGCAACAGUCCAUUACAUAUGACAAGACCUUUAAAUGUAUAUAUUUAAGGACACAGCUGACCUGAAGCAAUUGAGCUAGUAAUUACAUUCACCAUCUUUAGUUUCCACCCAUGUCCAGUUAUCACUGCAAUUUUGUAUUCUGGUGGGCACUCGAAAGCAAAAAGAUGAUACUCAUAUUGAUACUCAGAUUAAGCAAACAUGAAAAUUAAAUCAAGCAGAUGAAAGCAAAGUUUCUUCUUUGAGGCCACUAUAUAAUCGAUACAGUUUUCUUUAUUCAAGCACAUUGCACGUAAAGUUUGAAACUUUACCUUAAAAACUGCUUAGCUAUAUAUACUGGAAUUCGGUGGAAUCAAUCACUGAGGAGCUAGACUGCCGCACAGACAAAACCCGAAUCAGCUCAAAUCAAGGAAACAGAAAACCAGUGAAAAAUAACAAUGUGCAUCACAUUCUUCAUCAGAUAAAACAUGCUGUGAUGUUUGAAAAGAUAGCGACUGCCGAAGAUCAAAGCAAUUGACCUAGUACUUACAUAGUUACAUUCACCAUCUUCAGUUUCCAGCCAGGUCCAGUAAUCUUUCCAAUUUAGUAUUCGGGUGGCACUCGAUAGCAAAAAGAAGAAAGAAAGAAACGAACAUCAGAUUGAAACUAAAAAGAAAGAAAUACAGUUUUCUUUAUUUGAGUAUAUUGCAUGUAAACUGUAACUUUACCUGAUAAACUGCUAAAAAAUGAAAAUCAAAUCAGCAACCGAUAUACUAGAAUCCAUCAUUGAGGUCCUAGACAACAGAACAGACAACGCAGAAUCAGCUCAAAUCAGCUAACGGGAACGGUUAUCCUUCUUGAAAUGAUAAGCUCAAUCUCAAACAGUAUAAAAACCACACAAAAACGGAAUGAAAAAAUUUGAAAAUACAAAAGCACUCAACUUAUCUAUUCGAUCUGAGGAGAGGAUUGGGAAACUUCCCAAAUCUAGUCCCACGAAUCCAUCUUCGGGAAAAUUUAUAUUGCACU
rnacentral:lncRNA from 1 species